rnacentral:rRNA from 1 species
UACAGAGGGUGCGAGCGUUAUCCGGAAUUAUUGGGCGUAAAGAGCUCGUAGGCGGUUUGUCGCGUCUGCCGUGAAAGUCCGGGGCUCAACUCCGGAUCUGCGGUGGGUACGGGCAGACUAGAGUGAUGUAGGGGAGACUGGAAUUCCUGGUGUAGCGGUGAAAUGCGCAGAUAUCAGGAGGAACACCAGUGGCGAAGGCGGCUCGCUGGGCUUUACCUGACGCUGAGGCGCGAAAGCGUGGGGAGCGAACCGG